rnacentral:rRNA from 1 species
GCUACUGCUAUCGGGGUUCGAUUAAGCCAUGCGAGUUAAAUGUUCUUCGUGAACAUAGCGAACUGCUCAGUAACACGUGGAUAACCUACCCUUAGGACCGGAAUAACCCCGGGAAACUGGGGAUAAUACCGGAUAAGCCAUAGACGCUGGAAUGCCCUAUGGUUCAAAGCUCCGGCGCCUAAGGAUGGAUCUGCGGUCUAUCAGGUUGUAGUGGGUGUAACGUACCUACUAGCCGACGACGGAUACGGGUUGUGAGAGCAAGAGCCCGGAGAUGGAUUCUGAGACACGAAUCCAGGCCCUACGGGGUGCAGCAGGCGCGAACACUUUACAAUGCGGGAAACCGCGAUAAGGGAACCCCGAGUGCCAGCAUCAAAUGUUGGCUGUCCAGAUGAUUAAAAAUCAUUUGUUAGCAAGGGCCGGGCAAGACCGGUGCCAGCCGCCGCGGUAACACCGGCGGCCCGAGUGGUAGCCGUUUUUAUUGGGUCUAAAGGGUCCGUAGCCGGCUUGAUAAGUCCUUUGGGAAAUCUGGCAGCUUAACUGUCAGGCUUCUAAGGGAUACUGUCAGGCUUGGGACCGGAAGAGGUAAGGGGUACUCCAGGGGUAGGAGUGAAAUCUUGUAAUCCCUGGGGGACCAUCUGUGGCGAAGGCGCCUUACCAGAACGGGUCCGACGGUGAGGGACGAAAGCUAGGGGAGCAAACCGGAUUAGAUACCCGGGUAGUCCUAGCUGUAAACGAUGCUCGCUAGGUGUCAGACACGGUGCGACCGUGUUUGGUGCCGCAGGGAAGCCGUUAAGCGAGCCACCUGGGAAGUACGGUCGCAAGGCUGAAACUUAAAGGAAUUGGCGGGGGAGCACUACAACGGGUGGAGCCUGCGGUUUAAUUGGAUUCAACGCCGGG